rnacentral:tmRNA from 1 species
ACAGAUUUCGACGCGGAAUGUGGAGUGCGCGCUGCAUGCCGACCCGUCAUCGAGUCGUAAAACCGAUGGCACAACACUGAAAUGCCGAGCCUAUGGCUCUUGCUGCCUAAUAUAGGGUAGCACGUCGACCGGCUGACGCCCGCUGGGCCGGAAGACGCCGCUAGCGGGCUGGCCGUCCCGAGUCCUCCCCGGCGAGGGGCGGCGAGACACAGCGGGGAUAGCUUGAGGGGGAUCCUUUCCCCGGGAGCCUUCUCGAGCGAAACUCAAAACAGGGAAUAAGCAUGUAGAUGCGUUCACAAAGCCUCCGCGGACGAGGGU